GCCUUCGCUUCGUCCGCCCGUUCGGCUCAAACCAGAACUGUUGCUCAACUUGUUCUUCUUGGCUUAACCUUAACCAGACAACCAAAUACUAGUGAAAUGAGGAAAGAAAACAAGGCACUUUCUUAAGCAGAAAGAAUUCCUUUAAGGAAUUUUCUUAAGCAACUAUGGCAGGUUUGGAGCAGUGUUGAAACUUCGCAGUUCAUUGCUCAGAGAAACCAACUCGUGAACUUGAACAAGCCCUCAAGUCCCACAGGAGGUGGGACGCACCCGUUCAGUAUCUGUGCAAAAGUCAAGGACACAAAGUGUCCAACGUCAUCCAAAGCUGAACCCAGAGCUUCCCAACUCCCAAAACUAUCCAUGGAAA